GCGUUGGUAGUUCAAUUGGAUAGAAUAUCAGAUUUCGGCUCUGAGGGUUGAGGGUUCGAAUCCUUCCCAACGCA
rnacentral:tRNA from 4 species